UACGUAGGGUGCAAGCGUUGUCCGGAAUUAUUGGGCGUAAAGAGCUCGUAGGCGGUCUGUCGCGUCGGCUGUGAAAACCCGGAGCUCAACUCCGGGCCUGCAGUCGAUACGGGCAGACUGGAGUUCGGCAGGGGGAGACUGGAAUUCCUGGUGUAGCGGUGAAAUGCGCAGAUAUCAGGAGGAACACCGGUGGCGAAGGCGGGGUCUCUGGGCCGAUACUGACGCUGAGGAGCGAAAGCGUUGGGGGAGCGAACAGG
rnacentral:rRNA from 1 species